UACAGAGGGUGCAAGCGUUAAUCGGAAUUACUGGGCGUAAAGCGCGUGUAGGCUGCUUCGCAAGUCGGAUGUGAAAGCCCUGGGCUCAACCCAGGAAGUGCAUUCAAAACUGACAAGCUAGAGUAUGGUAGAGGGUGGUGGAAUUUCCUGUGUAGCGGUGAAAUGCGUAGAUAUAGGAAGGAACACCAGUGGCGAAGGCGACCACCUGGACUGAUACUGACACUGAGGUGCGAAAGCGUGGGGAGCAAACAGG
rnacentral:rRNA from 1 species